rnacentral:lncRNA from 1 species
GGAGUAUUGAGGAGUACUCUGAUAGGCAACAAAGGACAUGACAGAAUUGGUCUGUCCAGUAACAUCCGAUCAAGCACACUGGCAGCUCCAUUGGCACACAUAUUAUGAUCGAUAGAUUGGUAAAACUUCUACACUUAAAUUAAUUUCAUAUUGAAUUAAUCAUAUGUAUGUUUUAAUUAAUUUAAUUUUAUUAUUUAUUUAUUACAGACACGGUAGCUGGAUCGUGCACCAGGGCAGCUACAGAUAUAGGAGGUCACAUAUCAUUUUAAAAGGAUUGAUGAUUAUUUAGAUCCUCGAUCUCGACAAAUCAUGGUA